rnacentral:rRNA from 1 species
CCUACGAGAGGCAGCAGUGAGGAAUAUUGGUCAAUGGGCGCGAGCCUGAACCAGCCAAGUCGCGUGAGGGAUGACGGUCCUACGGAUUGUAAACCUCUUUUGUCGGGGAGCAAAAGCCGGACGUGUCCGGCUGUGAGAGUACACGAAGAAAAAGCAUCGGCUAACUCCGUGCCAGCAGCCGCGGUAAUACGGAGGAUGCGAGCGUUAUCCGGAUUGAUUGGGUUUAAAGGGUGCGCAGGCGGAUUUUUAAGUCAGCGGUCAAAUCGUGGGGCUCAACCCCAUCCAGCCGUUGAAACUGGGGAUCUAGAGUGUGCGAGAGGUAUGCGGAAUGCGUGGUGUAGCGGUGAAAUGCAUAGAUAGCACGCAGAACCCCGAUUGCGAAGGCAGCAUACCGGUGCACAACUGACGCUCAGGCACGAAAGCGUGGGUAUCGAACAGGAUUAGAUACCCCGGUAGUC